UUGACGUUACCUACAGAAAGAAGCACCGGCUAAUAUCCUGUGCCAGCAGCCGCGGUAAUACGGAGGGUGCAAGCGUUAAUCGGAAUUACUGGGCGUAAAGCGCGCGUAGGCGGUUUAUAUAAAGUUGGAUGUGAAAGCCCCGGGCUCAAUCCCGGGAAACUGCAUUCCAAAACUGGCUAGUUAGAGUUUCCAUGAAGGGUAGGUAGAAUUUCCUCUGUAGCGGUGAAAUUUUUAGAUAUAUGGAGGAAUCCCCGUGGGGAAGGCGGCCCCUCGGACUCAACAUUGACGUUGAGGUGCGAAAAGCGUGGGGAGCAAAACAGGAUUAGAUACCCCUGGUAUUCUCACCGCCGUAAAUCUAUUAAUGCUCAGCUGUUCGGACAGCUUAUCUCUUCAGUGGCGCAGCUAACGC
rnacentral:rRNA from 1 species